rnacentral:rRNA from 1 species
CCCUUAGAUGUUCUGGGCCGCUCGCGCGCUACACUGAUGCAUUCAACGAGUUUCUUCCUGGUCCGAGAGGAAUGGGUAACCUUUUGAAAGUGCAUCGUGAUAGGGAUAGACUAUUGCAAUUAUUGGUCUUCAACGAGGAAUUCCUAGUAGACGUAGUUCAUCAGACUGCAUCGAUUACGUCCCUGCCCUUUGUACACACCGCCCGUCGCUCCUACCGAUUGAAUGCUCAGGUGAGCCAUUCGGACUUUCAUCAUGCUGGUUUCCAGUUUUGAUGAAGGAAAGUCUUGCGAACCUUAUCAUUUAGAGGAAGGAGAAGUCGUAACA